rnacentral:rRNA from 1 species
UACGUAAGGGGCAAGCGUUAUCCGGAUUUACUGGGUGUAAAGGGAGCGUAGACGGUGAGGCAAGUCUGAUGUGAAAACCCGGGGCUCAACUCCGGGAUUGCAUUGGAAACUGUCUGACUUGAGUACUGGAGGGGUAAGCGGAAUUCCUGGUGUAGCGGUGAAAUGCGUAGAUAUCAGGAGGAACACCGGUGGCGAAGGCGGCUUACUGGACAGUAACUGACGUUGAGGCUCGAAAGCGUGGGGAGCAAACAGGAUUAGAUACCCUGGUAGUCCCUGAG